rnacentral:rRNA from 1 species
AGAGUUUGAUCCUGGCUCAGGAUGAACGCUGGCGGCGUGCUUAACACAUGCAAGUCGAACGAAGCACCUUAUUCUGAUUUCUUCGGAAUGAAAAAUUUGGUGACUGAGUGGCGGACGGGUGAGUAACGCGUGGGUAACCUGCCUCAUACAGGGGGAUAACAGUUAGAAAUGACUGCUAAUACCGCGUAAGACCACAGCACCGCAUGGUGCAGGGGUAAAAACUCCGGUGGUAUGAGAUGGACCCGCGUCUGAUUAGGUAGUUGGUGGGGUAACGGCCUACCAAGCCGACGAUCAGUAGCCGACCUGAGAGGGUGACCGGCCACAUUGGGACUGAGACACGGCCCAAACUCCUACGGGAGGCAGCAGUGGGGAAUAUUGCACAAUGGGGGAAACCCUGAUGCAGCGACGCCGCGUGAGCGAUGAAGUAUUUCGGUAUGUAAAGCUCUAUCAGCAGGGAAGAAAAUGACGGUACCUGACUAAGAAGCACCGGCUAAAUACGUGCCUGCAGCCGCGGUAAUACGUAUGGUGCAAGCGUUAUCCGGAUUUACUGGGUGUAAAGGGAGCGUAGACGGAGUGGCAAGUCUGAUGUGAAAACCCGGGGCUCAACCCCGGGACUGCAUUGGAAACUGUCAAUCUAGAGUACCGGAGAGGUAAGCGGAAUUCCUAGUGUAGCGGUGAAAUGCGUAGAUAUUAGGAGGAACACCAGUGGCGAAGGCGGCUUACUGGACGGUAACUGACGUUGAGGCUCGAAAGCGUGGGGAGCAAACAGGAUUAGAUACCCUGGUAGUCCACACUGUAAACGAUGAUUACUAGGUGUUGGAGGAUUGACCCCUUCAGUGCCGCAGUUAACACAAUAAGUAAUCCACCUGGGGAGUACGACCGCAAGGUUGAAACUCAAAGGAAUUGACGGGGGCCCGCACAAGCAGUGGAGUAUGUGGUUUAAUUCGACGCAACGCGAAGAACCUUACCAAGUCUUGACAUCCUGCGACGGACAUAGAAAUAUGUUUUUCCUUCGGGACGCAGAGACAGGUGGUGCAUGGUUAUCGUCAGCUCGUGUCGUGAGAUGUUGGGUUAAGUCCCGCAACGAGCGCAACCCUUAUGGUCAGUUACUACGCAAGAGGACUCUGGCCAGACUGCCGUUGACAAAACGGAGGAAGGUGGGGAUGACGUCAAAUCAUCAUGCCCUUUAUGACUUGGGCUACACACGUACUACAAUGGCGUUAAACAAAGAGAAGCAAGACCGCGAGGUGGAGCAAAACUCAGAAACAACGUCCCAGUUCGGACUGCAGGCUGCAACUCGCCUGCACGAAGUCGGAAUUGCUAGUAAUCGCAGAUCAGCAUGCUGCGGUGAAUACGUUCCCGGGCCUUGUACACACCGCCCGUCACACCAUGAGAGCCGGGGGGACCCGAAGUCGGUAGUCUAACCGCAAGGAGGACGCCGCCGAAGGUAAAACUGGUGAUUGGGGUGAAGUCGUAACAAGGUA